rnacentral:rRNA from 1 species
UACGUAGGGGGCAAGCGUUGUCCGGAUUUAUUGGGCGUAAAGAGCGUGUAGGCGGCCAUGUAGGUCCGUUGUGAAAACUCGAGGCUCAACCUCGAGACGCCGAUGGAAACCAUGUGGCUAGAGUCCGGAAGAGGAGAGUGGAAUUCCUGGUGUAGCGGUGAAAUGCGCAGAUAUCAGGAAGAGCACCCGUGGCUAAGGCGGCUCUCUAGUACGGUACUGACGCUGAGACGCGAAAGCGUGGGGAGCGAACAGG